rnacentral:rRNA from 1 species
UACGGAGGAUCCGAGCGUUAUCCGGAUUUAUUGGGUUUAAAGGGUGCGCAGGCGGGGGAUUAAGUCGGCGGUGAAAUUUUGCAGCUCAACUGUAAAAGUGCCUUCGAAACUGGUUUCCUUGAGUGUAGAUGAAGUAGGCGGAAUUUGUGGUGUAGCGGUGAAAUGCAUAGAUAUCACGAGGAACUCCGUUUGCGCAGGCAGCUUACUAAACUACUACUGACGCUCAGGCACGAAGGCGUGGGGAUCAAACAGGAUUAGAUACCCCCGUAGUCCCUGA